AUUUCCACAUAGUUAAAGAAUAUUUUCGUAAUUUUGCCAAGAAGCCUUUAUCCCCAAACCCCUUUUCUUUUCUCUCACGAUGGUUAGUGCAAAUACGAGAACUGAGGAGUCCAUUGAGAAAGAGAAAUAGGAGACAAGUUACAUGAGGAAGGAGGGCACGAAUGGAGAAGGGGGAAAGUGAGAAGAGGAACUUUUGCAUGUGGCAUCCAUUGUUGAAGCUUGGAGAAAGGUUUUGGUCAUCAUAGUUAUCAUCAUUCUCAUCUAAUCUCAUUUCCAGGUUUUGAUUUUUAAAGGUGGGGUUCUUAAGUGGUGGGUAAUCCAAGUUGGUUUUGGGAAUAUUUGCAUGUUUGAAAAAUGGGGGUUUCAUGAGAGUUUCCUUGUUAUUCAUGUUGAUACUUGUUUGAAACAUGUUUUGUGUUAAUUGAUAGUAUGUUUGUGUAUUACCCUAGAAUUUAUUGCCUAUUAUAUGUUUGAGUGUUGUUAUGAACUUCUAGUGUUAAAUAAGAAUUGAAAUUUUGGGCAAUUUCGGGCCUAUGUUGCGGUUCUGCAUAAAAACACGUUCAAGAUGGGAAGACGACCAUUAUCGCUACUGACGGUCGUCAACGCUGAUGACAAGAUGAUCUUCAUCUCCCAUAGUCUAUAUGAAUAGAGAGAGAGAGAGAGAGAGAGAGAGACGGUACACCGUUCCUAGAGGGUGGCAUCCCCAAUAGUAGGAAAAGUGAUUAAAUUUGGUAUACCAUACCUUAAAGGUGAGAGUCUAAAAAUUUAGGCAAUUAGUAAACCGGUAUACUUUUCCUCGAGGAUAGCAACCCCAAAAGUAGGAAGAAGUAGGUACGUCCGGAUGUCCAUUCCUAGAGGGUGGCAACCCCAAAAGCAGGAAGGUGGAUAAUCAAAAGACCAUUCCUCGAAUUUAGCAUUCUUAUAAAUCUAGACAAACCUAGAUUUGUGUGAUUAGUAAUGCUAUUGUCCUCAUUUUAUAAUGUCUGCUGUGUGGUAUGAAAGUAAUUAAGGUUAGAAACCUUGGUUUAAUAGUUAGGUUAAUCCCUAUGACCGAGAGGACUCCUAAGAUAUGAGAACUCUACUAAGAUAGUUUAUUCUCACCCGUGUUGUUUUCAUAUAUUUUACACGUGAACAAUCUACAACUAAAGGUGAAGGAAAGAUGUCACGAAGAUAUUGUCUCGAAAGCUUUUGCCUUAGUUUGUUUAGUUUUGUUUCUGCUGUAUCAUGACAACUUUGAGUUGCAUUUUGUACUCAUAUGCACGUACAAUGUAAUGUAGGAAAUAUUUAAGUACGUAUGCAUCUCUUUUUCUUUUGUAUCAUAUUUCCAUAUCAAAAUUUAACAACUUAAUGUAUGUGAUUCUUUACACACAUAAAUUGGGUUGUACAUGUACCAAGUCAGUAGGGUAGGCUACUACAUAUUCAUUAUUUAUUCUAGCCUCCCUAAGUCCUAGAACUAUGUUAUCUAGCAGAUGAGGUGAAUCAAAUAAGUGAAGUACAAUAAAUCUUAUCCUAGGCUAGUUAUGGUAUAUCUAACCUUGUGUAAAACCGUUGAACUACUUUAGGUGUAAAGUGAUUAGAUAAGUAGUGACUAAUGACUAUUUUAUAUCAUUAUAGGACUUAUAGUCCAAUGAGAUAUAAUAAGCAAUUUUGGGCCAUCUUUUUGUGAUUUUGAAUCCUUAACAUCUCUCUAUCUUUAUGUCACUUCCCGAUUUGUAUAUUGCUUUAUGGAAGAGGCCCUUGCUAUGCAACUUCUAGCCAAUCGAAUCUACGAAAAAGAUUGGAGGUGGUUCGAAAAUUGGAAGGAUUAAAGGAAUCAUAUAUUGUAUGCCACAUACAAUCACUGUUUAGUUCAUAACUAAAAAUGAUGGGUGAAAUGAUCAAGUAAGGCUUUGCUACAAUGGACUAGUGCUUCCUGUGAAGUCAAAGUUAACACUUCAACACUCAAAUAAGUGAGAGAAUAAGAAGUAAUAUGUGAGUGAGAGUGAAUUUGUAUCAUACAUUUUCCUUCAUGUGGAAUCCCUUAUAUAUGAUAGUUGAUCGAUGUAUUCAAACUCUCAAUCACAUAUGAGCUUUCUCUUAUUAAACCUUUGAUCAACCAUAAUUUGUCUGAAAUCCAUCUCAAAGUCUUUAUGAAAAUUUAAUAUCAGUUGAGAUGAAAUUUAUUCCAUCAAAAAUUCCUUUAUGAAAAAUUCAUUUUUCUAAUAGUUAAUGAAUAAUAACUAAACUUUUAAGAAAAAAAUUGAAAUGUAAGAAAUCUAACAAGACUUAUCAAAAAAAGAAGAAAAUAAUUGAUUCUAAAUAGCCUAUUGUAAAAAAUAACAAACUAGUUUGAUUUCGCUAAUGAUUAUAUGGAGAAGCUUGUUGGAUCCUAUUUUUUCUCUUUUGUAGAAACCGUUGCAAAGACAUUUUCAUUGAAAGAGCAGGACCAGGAGGACUAUACAAUUGAUGUGGAGAUUCUACUAUUGCUGGUGUCGAUGGCUCUGACCCUGUUGGUGUCUUAACUAUUUCUUGCACCUUUUUAUUUGCCAGCAAUAGGAUGGAUUUGGCCUGCAAGACAUUCACAGUAACCCAUUUAUUAUUAUUGUUGUAAAAAAAAUAUAUUAAUUGACUUCAUAUAUAACAAUUUAAUUAAGGAAAGUCUUAUAAAAUUGUUAUAUUUAAUUUUUA